AUACGUAGAGAGCAAGCGUUGUCCGGAAUCACUGGGCGUAAAGGGUACGCAGGCGGAUAUACAAGUCAAAUGUGAAAUGUACCGGCUCAACCGGUAAGCUGCAUUUGAAACUGUAUAUCUUGAGUCUAGGAGAGGAGAGCGGAAUUCCUGGUGUAGCGGUGGAAUGCGUAGAUAUCAGGAAGAACAUCAGUGGCGAAGGCGGCUCUCUGGCCUAAGACUGACGCUCAGGUACGAAAGCUGGGGGAGCGAACGGGAUUAGAUACCCCGGUAGUCCCAGCCGUAAACGAUGGACACUAGGUGUUGGAGGUUCGAAUCCUUCAGUGCCGCAGUUAACGCAAUAAGUGUCCCGCCUGGGGAAUACGGUCGCAAGACUGAA
rnacentral:rRNA from 1 species